rnacentral:rRNA from 1 species
AAUAGAUACCCGGGUAGUCCACGCCGUAAACGAUACGGAGUGCUAAGUGUUAGAGGGUUUCCGCCCCUUUAGUGCUGCAGCUAACGCAUUAAAGCACUCCGCCUGGGGAGUACGGCCGCAAGGCUGAAACUCAAAGGAAUUGACGGGGGCCCGCACAAGCGGUGGAGCAUGUGGUUUAAUUCGAAGCAACGCGAAGAACCUUACCAGGUCUUGACAUCCUCUGCCAACCCUAGAGAUAGGGCGUUCCCCUUCGGGGGACAGAGUGACAGGUGGUGCAUGGUUGUCGUCAGCUCGUGUCGUGAGAUGUUGGGUUAAGUCCCGCAACGAGCGCAACCCUUGAUCUUAGUUGCCAGCAUUCAGUUGGGCACUCUAAGGUGACUGCCGGUGACAAACCGGAGGAAGGUGGGGAUGACGUCAAAUCAUCAUGCCCCUUAUGACCUGGGCUACACACGUGCUACAAUGGAUGGUACAAAAGAGCUGCGAACCCGCGAGGGUAAGCAAUCUCAUAAAAGCCAUUCUCAGUUCGGAUUGUAGG